UUCAUUCAAGUUUGGGAUCUUCCUGUUUUUUGCUGGCUGGAUAACCAUCAUGACCAUAUUUGUUGUUUUGUUCCUACCUGAAACUAAGGGAAUUCCCAUUGAAGAGAUGGCAAUUAUGUGGAAGAAACACUGGUUUUGGAAAAGGAUACUACCAUAGACUGUAGACAGCUGAAGAUACAUUAUAGGGUAAAAAGUUUCAGGGAGCCAGAUGAUGCAGUUUGACUAUAAUUAAUUACAUAUGUUAUAAGCUACUAAUGAUGCCUUAUAUAAUUGAAAUUUUCAUACAAUGUCGAUCCUUUGCCCUUCAUUUACUCUAUAAUUGAUUCUGAUUUGAAAUUAUAAUAUGUAGUUUUUGUUGAUACAAAAGAUUUUUAGUGCCAAAUUUAUUAUUCAAACGUAAUUCACUUUACAUUCAAUUAACUUUUGGCCGGAAUCAAUUCGUUUAAAAUCAUUCUUUGCCCCCAUAGAACCAGACACAUGAGUGGAAAGUGAGCAUGUUGAAUUAGAUCAUAAAAGGAAUAAAGCAAAAUAUUUAUAUAUUGUUCAUGUAGUGAUCUCAAUUUUCAAACACAUAAGGAAUGAAGUAGACACCCUAUUCAGUAUGGCAAUGAGAAAUAUUGGUGAUAAUAAUACAUGAGGACUAUGACUAGGGUUCAUAGUUCAAAAUAACGAAUUAUAGGUAUACCUGAUAUUACAAAGUUCGCCAUGAUGGUGUUCAAAGGUAUUGUAAUUCCCAUGAAGUUCCAAAAGAGUUCCAAGCAUGAUCUAAAAUUGAUUGUGAUGUGAGACAUGAUCUACCAUAUUGAGUGAUGAUGAUUAUGCAAUUGCAGGAACAAGCUCUUGUGUAGUAAGUAUGAGGCAGAAGUCUGUGUUGUUUGGAAAAUUCUUGCCAUUGUUAUAUAAAAAUUC
rnacentral:lncRNA from 1 species